UGGGAACGUACCUCUUGGUUCGGAACAACACAGGGAAACUUGUGCUAAUACCGGAUAAGCCCUUACGGGGAAAGAUUUAUCGCCGAGAGAUCGGCCCGCGUCUGAUUAGCUAGUUGGUGAGGUAACGGCUCACCAAGGCGACGAUCAGUAGCUGGUCUGAGAGGAUGAUCAGCCACACUGGGACUGAGACACGGCCCAGACUCCUACGGGAGGCAG
rnacentral:rRNA from 1 species